rnacentral:rRNA from 1 species
AUUGAACGCUGGCGGCAGGCCUAACACAUGCAAGUCGAGCGAGCGGCGGACGGGUGAGUAAUGUCUGGGAAACUGCCUGCUGGAGGGGGAUAACUACUGUAAACGGUAGCUAAUACCGCAUACCAUCAGAUGUGCCCAGAUGGGAUGAGCUAGUAGGUGGGGUAACGGCUCACCUAGGCGACGAUCCCUAGCUGGUCUGAGAGGAUGACCAGCCACACGGGAACUGAGACACGGUCAAGACGACUACGGGAGGCAGCAGUGGGGAAUAUGGCACAAUGGGCGCAAGCCUGAUGCAGCCAUGCCGCGUGUGUGAAGAAGGCCUUCGGGUUGUAAAGCACGUUGAGGGGGGAGGCGUUACCCGCAGAAGAAGCACCGGCUAACUCCGUGCCAGCAGCCGCGGUAAUAC